UGUAGGGUAGACUAAAGGAAGGUCAUCAGGCUCAUUAUCUGGUAGUGUGGGUUCAAAUCCCCCCCCUGCAU
rnacentral:tRNA from 1 species